UCAACGAAUGUCAGGACGAAGAACAACGGCAACAACAAAACUGGGAGGAUGCCAGCGAGGCGUCGUUUUGGGCCUGAAGACCAAAACAAAAAAAAAAAAAAAGGCAAUGAAACAGAAGCGAAACACAAAUAAAUAAGGAUAAUAACAGAAAACAAAACAGAAAACUCUACUCACUGAAGGGGUGUUUGGACUCAAGAGCGGGAAGGGGGAGGCGGGUUGAUUCACUGGGCUAAUGGCCGAGUUUUGCUGCCUUCUCGUCUUGAGGGCGAAAUGCCACGAAAGGCAAUUAAAAAAUAUUUAAACUGCCAAAUGGCAGGAUCCGUAUCCUGGAACUUCUCGACUGUCCUGACUGACUGACUGACUGAAUGUUUCCACAAUGGAAUGGAAUGGAAGGAGACAUCAGACCUCGUCCCCCCGUCUGUGAAAUCAGUUGAAUUGUGUGAUUGUGUACGUGAGCAUAACGCUCAAAUGGGCAAAAACUAGACCAAAGCAGGGAAGAAGAAAAACCCUCCACAAAGCAACCAAGAAAGAGAGAGAAACCCGGUGGUUGGUUGUCAGAAUUGAUUGAUUGAAUUGCCACUUUAUGAAAUUUGUGAGUCUUCUGAGAUGUGCGUGAAAUUCGUGCGCUACGUCUCAGUCUCAGUCGCAGUCGCAGUCUCUCUGCCUGGGGGGUGGCAAUGAGGGUGGACGGGAGUGGGGGGAGUGGCUCUGUUGCUGCUGCCACAUCGAGGGUUGCUGCUGCUGAUUUGUGUUUGUGUGCGUUUUGGCUACCAUUUGCAGCAUAAAAUACAUAAAAUUAUGUGCAGCGCUGAGGCGGCCAUUAAACUUGAUAGAUUUAUGACAGCCCAGCAAACGGCUGUGGCAUCAACAGCCAGCAGUCCACCAACAACAACAGCAACAACAACAACAGUAGAGGACAGCAGUGCACAGCAGCAGGUCUCUCAUACCAUCGAGCUCAACUGUGGGGCCAUCACAUAAAGAUAAAGCUGAUUAAAAUUGCAAAAUUGUUCAAAUGAGAUUUGGGAAAACAGCAAAUGUCCUCAAUAUAUUGUGUAUUUACUUGUGCA